rnacentral:rRNA from 1 species
UGGGGAAUAUUGGACAAUGGGCGAAAGCCUGAUCCAGCCAUGCCGCGUGUGUGAAGAAGGUCUUCGGAUUGUAAAGCACUUUAAGUUGGGAGGAAGGGCAUUAACCUAAUACGUUAGUGUUUUGACGUUACCGACAGAAUAAGCACCGGCUAACCCUGUGCCAGCAGCCGCGGUAAUACAGAGGGUGCAAGCGUUAAUCGGAGUUACUGGGCGUAAAGCGCGCGUAGGUGGUUUGUUAAGUUGGAUGUGAAAUCCCCGGGCUCAACCUGGGAACUGCAUUCAAAACUGACUGACUAGAGUAUGGUAGAGGGUGGUGGAAUUUCCUGUGUAGCGGUGAAAUGCGUAGAUAUAGGAAGGAACACCAGUGGCGAAGGCGACCACCUGGACUAAUACUGACACUGAGGUGCGAAAGCGUGGGGAGCAAACA